AAUAUUGGACAAUGGUCGAAAUCCUGAUCCAGCCAUGCCGCGUGUUUGAUGAAGGUCUUCGGAUUGUAAAGCACUUUAAGUUGGGAGUAAGGGCAGUAAGUUAUUACCUUGCUGUUUUGACGUUACCGACAGAAUAAGCACCGGCUAACUUCGUGCCAGCAGCCGCGGUAAUACGAAGGGUGCAAGCGUUAAUCGGAAUUACUGGGCGUAAAGCGCGCGUAGGUGGUUUGUUAAGUUGGAAGUGAAAGCCCCGGGCUCAACCUGGGAACUGCUUUCAAAACUGGCAAGCUAGAGUACGGUAGAGGGUAGUGGAAUUUCCUGUGUAGCGGUGAAAUGCGUAGAUAUAGGAAGGAACACCAGUGGCGAAGGCGACCACCUGGGCUAAUACUGACACUGAGGUGCGAAAGCGUGGGGAGCAAAC
rnacentral:rRNA from 1 species